ACAACACAAGCAAUAACAACAACAAAAGCAAUACGCUCGUAUUCAAAAAUAUAAACAAUGCAAGUGAAAUAAACACACUCAAAACAGUACAUAAUGAAAAAACUUUUAGUUCUUUAUGUAAUAUCACAAACGAAACCGAUAAUGAUCAACGAGGUUCAUGUUCUCCCAAUUUCCCUGAAGUACAUAAUAGUAGUAGCAAUAUUACUAAGCCUAAUCAAACUAAUGCAAAUACACUGAAUGUCACAACGGAUGAAACAAACUGUAAUAAGAAAGAGUAUUCCAAUAACAAUAUGAUUCAGCAAACGGUUGUAUAUCCGAACGCAAAUAGUAUAACUAGUGACACAAACAGAGAGUACAAUAUGAAUAGACAUGUAAAACAAAAGGAAGAGUAUCAUAAAAGUGAGUACCCUUUUGAUAACAGUUUUGAAUAUUAUGAUACGUUAAAGAAUAGCCAACAAGAGCUAGAAAAAAAUAAUAAUAAUUAUUAUUUUUCUCCUGACCAGUAUAAUAACAAGUAUGUAAUGCCAAUGUCAAACAGUUUAGAUAGCUAUGACAUCUCUAGUCAUACUUAUACCCAACCACAAUAUUUUAAUCAGUCACAAUAUUACAACCAACCACAAUAUGUUAAUCAGUCACAAUAUUACAACCAACCACAAAAUUUUAAUCAAAAUAUAUUUGGAUUAAGUUCUACUGAAAUGAACACAAAUACAGAAGCGGGAAAAGCAGACAAUAAUGUGGAUACAUAUAAUAAAAACUGUGGGUCAUAUAAUAUUAAUAAAAUGUAUUCUUAUGCUAGUAAUAACAGCAUGGGUACAGCUAAUUAUGUUUAUAUGGAUACACCUAUACCAAUUAAAACAGACAAUACGUAUAAACUGGGAGGGUUAACUGAUAACGUAGUAAAAGUCAAUUCAAAGUAUGAUACUUCUAUAUAUAGUUCUAAUGAUAGUGCCUAUUCUUUUUCAUCUAAAAGCCAAAGCGAAUUAAACAAAAAUAGUGAUAUUUUAACUAUUGAUCACAUAAACGAUGAAACGGGGAACCAUUCUGAAAUACAAAAUACUAAUUGUUCUUUAAAACCAUCAAACCUAUAUUACAAUUAUGAAAAUAGUAAUCAUAAUAUUUCAACUGUAAAGGAAGAACAAAAACAGACACACACAAAGUCAAUAGAUCCAAAUCAUUCAAAUGAAGUAUGUGUGAAUGCCAUUAACAGUGCCAGUGCCAAUGGCAAUACCAAUGACAAUGCCAUUGAGAGUUUAAACAGCACUGCUAGUAUGAAUUUUCUUUUAUCGAGUUUACAUUCAUCCAAUAGUAACAAUAAUAAAAGCGAUACCAAUGCCGAUCCUAAAUCAAUCGAUAAUAGUAUUAUACAGUAUCAUAAUAAUAUAAAGAAGUUAAUAAACAAACAUAUGAUAAUGUUGAAACAA
rnacentral:lncRNA from 1 species